rnacentral:tRNA from 1 species
AAGAGAAAAGUACUAUUGGGUAUGGUCGACUUGAAAUUGACUGGAGGGGGUUCGAGACCCCCUUCUCUUG